ACACAAGGAGAAUCUGAAAGGAUCGGGUGAAGACAUUUGAUCCGUAAUCGCAUGUUGUUUUUCUCUUCAUCUUUAUCCUCCUCUUUUUUCUCUUUCUAACCCUGCUUGCUGCCUUCCUCUCAGACCAACUGUUUAGCAAUGAAGGAAUGGCUUUAAGUAGAAAAUGCAAGUUUUAUUCCACAGCUUUAUGAGGACACCUCAGCAUAGGAGAAAGUUCAUCUUGCUUCAAGUUGAUCACACUUAAUUGGUAAGUUCAAUGACAGUUUAAUGAGUGGGUUAUAUUAGGCUUCAGGGUUGUCAGUAUACCUCUUUGCCAGUUCCAUUCAUUAAAAUGGAUUGCUAAUCUUGGUUUGUGUCUUUCUUCCUUUUUUCUAUUCUUCCUUUCUCUUUUCCUUCUACCUCUCUAACCUCCCUCUAUCUUUCCUUCCUUUCCUCUUUUUAAAUAUUCAGUUUAGUAAGAAUAUUUUACAGUCAUACAGAAUGUGACAUAUAAACUGUAUUUUUUCACUUCAGUGGAGUGAUAAUUGAUGCCUAAACCUAAUUAUUCACAGAUUAAUUAAACCAGGCUCAACAACAGCAGUAGCAGCUACCAUAUUAUAAGUGCCAGUUAGGUCCUCAGUAUUUGAAACUAGGCUCUGGUCAUUCAUUUUGUUCUAACCUUCACAGUAAUCCAAGUGGAGCAGGUGGUAUUGUAUACAUUUUGCACCGGGGGAAAUAGAUUCAGAGACAUUGUGUUACUUACGUAAAUGCACACAGCUUCUAAAUGGCUCAGCCAUGAUUUUAACUGGGACUUCCUGAAUCUGUAGACUGUCCUCUUUGUCUUGAUCAUAAUGCUUCAGAAUGAAGGUGUAGAUUAUAGGGAAGAAUACCAUAAAUGUGCUGGAGUCUCUGAAAGCCAUGCUAAGACUAAGCCACUGCCAGAUUGUUUUUCUCUAGUUAACAAUUUCUAAUUGGGUCUGAUACUGUGUAUAUGCCGCAAUUACAAUCUUUACUGGAGAGAUUUGGAGGGUUUACUAUGUAGAAGCCAUUCUGAGGCUUUACAACAAAUUCUUUUAACAUAUGAAGAAGACUCUACUUUUUACUUCUUUUUCUCAUUCCUCUUUUAUGUAACUUUUACUGAUUAUGUUUAUAGAAAAAGUAUAAAUUUCCUCAAAUGCACCAAAUUUUGCAAAAAGCAGCAUGCCCGUUUUUCCUCAUCCUUGCCAAUAACAGUUAAUAUUGGCAGUUUUCUCAUCUUUCUGUUCUUCCUCCUUUUUUUUUUUUUUAACAAAAUACAAAUCUGAUGAGUGGUAAAUAUUUCAUUCUGUGUUAAUUUAUAUUUCUCUGAUUACCAAUGACAUUGUUUUUUCAAGUCUUGAAUUUUCUUUUGCUUGUUAAUGUAAUUUAAAUCUCUCUUCCAUUGUUAGGUUUUCCUCCCAUGGAUUUUUUGCUUAGUUUAUCCACAUUUUGAGAGUAUAUAUUUACACAUAAAUACUUUUAAGUUGUUCUGUGCUUUCAUAUUUUUGCCUUUACUUUUUAAUUCAUUUUGUGGUAUUUGUGUGGUGAGGAUAUUUUUUCUUUAUUGCUAACAACUUCACAAGAAUGUUUAUAGGGAAUUAUUUCAUUGCUCACAAACUUGAAUUGAUGUCUUUAUAUUUCAUGAAAUUAAUGAUGAGUCUGUUUCUAGGAUUUCAGUUUAACCUCCCUUCUUGAACUAUGGCCACAUUGUUGUUUAAUUCUAGAAAGUAUUUAUUUUAUGAUAAGGCAAGCCUCUCUUUAUGUUAGCACUUUAACUGUUUCAUUUGUCUUUCUUACCCUGCUCAUCAUUUAAUGUUUUCUAUUAGCAGUCUCUCUCUAUAAACCAAAGAUACUCUUCUAAUCUUCUCUCAGUUGUUAUAACACCAAAAGUGCUUUCAUAUGUAAUCUCUUAUUUCCUUUUUAUAUAAACUAAAAGAUAAAUAAGAUAGAUUAUAUUAUUUAUAUUUUACCUAUAGGGAAAACUAAUUUAGAGUGGAUGACUGGCUUCCCCAAGGUGUCUAAGUAAAUGAUAGAUACCAAAGUUAUGAAAAAGAUAGCUGAUGGCCAUGUGCAAAUUACACAGAGAUGUAAUUCAUUCAAAUACCGUGAAAAGAGCACUGGACUACAAGUUAGGAUACUUAGGAUCUGAUCUCAGUUCUUUUACUAACUACUCAGUUACUUAAGUAUAUUUCUGUUUGUUUAUUUAUUUAUUUACUUAUUUGACAGACAGUCUUACUCUGUCACCUAGGCCGGAGUGCAGUUGUGUGAUCCUCCUGUCUCAGCCUCCCAAGUAGCUGGGACUGCAGGCUUGUAAUUUUUUAAUUUUUUGUAGAGACAAAGUCUCACUAUGUUGCCUUAGGCUGUUCUCGAACUCCUGGCUCCACACGAACCUCCUGCAUCAGCCUCCCAAAGUGCUAGGACUAUAGGCGUGAGCCACUGUGCCUGGCCCUAUGGAUCAUAUUUAGAGAUUGCAAUCUGGGUGUUAGGGGUACUCCCCACCACUGCGUUGUCAUUUACAACAACAUAAUGAAGAAAUACAGCCGGCCAUCGUGGCUUAUGCUAAUCCUAGCGACUCGGGAGGUGAGAUGAAGGAUCACUUGAGACCAGAGUUCAAGACCAGCCUGAGCAACAUAGACCCUGCCUCUAAAAAAAUUUAAGAAAUUAGCCUGGCAGGAUGGUGUACACGUACGGUCCCAGCUACUGUAGAGGCUGAGACUGGAGAAUUGCUUUAUCCCAGGAGUUCAGGGUUGCAGUGAGCUGUGAUUGUGCCACUAUACUCCAGCGUAUGUGACAGGGCAAGGCCCUGUCUCUAAAAUAAAUUAAAUGAAAAUAAAAGAAGUUAGGAAUUCUUGGAGAAGUUACUCAUUCCAGGAUUAGAGCAAGAAAUGUACAAGACAAACCUAAAUUAGUGGUUCUCAAACUUGUGUGCGUUGGAGUUACAUGGAGGGCUAUUAGAAAAGUAGAUUGCUGUCUCCUGUCCCUAGGGGUUUUGAUUCAGUAAGUUUGGGGAAAGCCCCAUGAAUUUGCAUUCUAAUAAGUUCCUGGGUGAUGAUAAAAUUCCUGGACCAGGAACCACAUUUUGAAAAAUCACUGCGCUAUAGCAUCAUGCGAUAUGAAAAAUUAAGAACCUAUCAAAGACUACUGGGGUCAUAUAAGGAUGGACAGAGGAGCAAGAAUGAAGGGGCUAUCACUGGCCUAGGAUAGACAGUUUGAGCAUAAGAAAGACUAAUGAGCACAGUUGUUUAAAACAAAGUAUUUUUAAAUCCGGAAACUUCAUUGUGAGACUAUAAAAAUAAUUUGGAGAUUGCUGGGACACCAGUGCCCUAACACUGGGAUUUACUUUUUAAAAUUCCAAUGGUAGUAGGGGAAACAUUGGCCAUUUUUUGAUAGUUUAUUGAAGCUGAGUGGUGGUGACAUGGGGUGUAUGAUAUUAUCUUUCCUAUACUUUUGCAUGUUUGAAAUUGUCCCUAAUAAAAUGCUGGAAAAGAAAGAUAUCACUUAACCACUUGAAACUUUCGUAUCUGUAAAAUGAGUCUUAAGACAGAUAAGACUUCACUCUUAGACUUUAGUGUGUCUUUCAGUUCUAAACUAGCUUUUUAACCAUAUUUGCGUAGCCCUGGAGUGGAGCCUGUGACUCUGGGUUCAUUUCUUAGCCAAGCUCCUUAUUUGUGUUUUCCCUUUACUUGAGAAAUAUUUUCCGUAUUUUCCAAGUAACUCUUUUUUCAUAUCUUUGCUUGAAUUUCAUGGAGUUGGUUUCUUCUGUUUUUAAACUGAAGGUCAUAUAGCUUUGGUCGUAUACCUUUGCUUUUGUCUAAAAAUUAUAAAUUUUAAUUAACAUACUAGAAAAAUUAAUCCAUAAUAUAUAUUUGUUUAUAUCCCUCUACAUUUUCUUUUAAACUUUAAUUUUACUUAUUUGUAAUACUAAUAUAUAUACACUCUUCCGUAUUUUGCUUUUUAAAAACUUUAUAUCAUUUAAACAUUUCCAUGAGUUAUGUGUUUCAUAAUGAUGCUUGUACUUACUAUUUUCAGUUGAAUCCAGAGUUCAGUAGCUUUAUACACGUUCCUCUUUUUCUGGACAUUUCUUAAUUUUCAAUUUUCACAGAGCAAAUUUGUACAGAUAAAUUGUACCCAAUUUGGUGAUUUCCUUUGGCUAUUCCUCAGAGCAAACUUACUCAAAGUAUAUGAAGUGUUGUAGCUUUUCUUAAAUUUUUGUUACCAAAGAUGAACUAAUUUAUAGUACUUCCAGCAGUUUGCAGGCAUUCUGUUUUCCCUAUAGCCACUUUGGUUCUAUUUAAUUUUUUGCUCAUUUUACAUAUAAUGGCGUCUUCAAGUUGUUAUAUUUCAUUUCUUCAGUGACACUGUCCGUUUUUCACAUGUAAUGAUCUAUUAUCUGAAAUUUCCGUGUCAAAUUUUAAUUACAUUUGCUACCUAUCAUGAAAAUCUUUUCAUAUCACCUCCUUUGAAUUGAUAUGUUAUGAAUUACAUUGAGGAAUGAUGAUUGUUACAUAUUUUUUCUUUUUCAGUCAUUUUUCUUUUGAAAUUUAUUAGAUUUUGUUGUUUAAACAUCUUUUCAAAAAAAUCUUUUAAAUUGCUUAUCUUGUCCUUUCAAGGCAAUUUUUUCACUUAAUAUCCAUUUGCAACAGAGUCAAGCAUACUAGUUUCUUUUAGUUCUUUAGCUGUGUGUAUGUGUUUGUUUCUUGUAAAUGUUCAUUGCUUUAAUGCAUGUGGAAUUUAUUUAACUUAACUUACAAAACAUAGAUUUAAAGUACUCUUUCUUUACCCUGAUACCCAGUUCUCCUGGUAGCACUUAGUAAAUAGGUAUUCUUUAAAAAAAUUUUAAAUCUACCUAAUCAUAUGCUACAUAAUCACACAGAAGUUUCCAUUUCAUUCUAGAUUCAUUGUUUUGUCUUUAAUCCAAUUUUUUGCAUUUCUUCUUCUUCUUUUUUUUUUUUUUUUUUUUUUUUUUUGUGAUGGAGUCUCUUGCCCUGUCCCCAAGGCUGGAGUGCAGUGGUGUGAUCUCGGUUUGCUGCAACCUUCACCUCCUGGGUUCAAGUGAUUCUCCUGCCUCAGCCUCCCGAGAAGCUGGGAUUACACACCUGGCUAAUUUUUUUGAAUUUUUAGUAGAGUCGGGGUUUCACCAUUUUGGCCAGGCUGGUCUGGAACUCCUGACCUCAGGUGAUUCAGCCACCUCGGCCUCCCAAAGUGCUGGGAUUAUAGGCGUAAGCCCAGCCUUUUUGCAUUUCUUUUGCCCUUUGUUUACAAAGUCAGUAGGUCAUCUUCAACGUCAUUAACUUUAUCUCAAAACUUUUUUUCUAGGUAAAUUUAUCAGUUUUUUCAACAACCUUUGAAACAUCAUUUGAGUGUCUUUAGUUUGUUAAAUUAUACUAAUAACUUAAAGAAUAUUAUCACUUGUAAUUUAUUUAGUCAUCUCCAGCCAGGAACUAAAUUCAUUCCUCUUUAUUCCUAUUUAUGUUUAUUAUUUAUCAUGUUAAAAAAGAUUUAAGGAAUAUAAAAUAUUUUCUAAAGAAAGCUAAUAUCCAGAUUACAACCAAAUUAUUAAAGAUUUGUGGUAGAUAAUAGAGAAGAAAAAGGCAAAUGAAACUUCAAGCCAUAAAAAGAUGAAAAAAGUAUUAGCAAAUGCUCUUUAUUGUAUUCACCUAUAAAAUAACCUUUCUUCUUAUGAAAACGGAGUCAAAUUCCUUACAGAGCUCCUGUCUCUAAAGGUUGUGAGCAUUAAUGAGAUGAUACAUGUAAAAGCUUCUAUAAGAGCAAAUGUUAACAGGAUUGGACUAGGUAGUAGUAACAUAACAGGUACAGUGGGUCCUCCAUAUCCAUAGGUUCUGCAUUUUUGGAUUCAGCCAACGGUGGAUUGACAAUAUUAUGGAAAAAAACACCAAUAAAACAGAAUAAUACAACAAUAAAAAAUAAAUAGAAAAUAAUAUAGUGUAACAGCUAUUUACAUAGUGUUUACAUUGUAUUGGGUAUUAGAAGAAAUCGAGGCCGGGCGCGGUGGCUCACGCCUGUAAUCCCAGCACUUUGGGAGGCCGAGGCGGGUGGAUCAUGAGGUCAGGAGAUCGAGACCAUCCUGGCUAACAAGGUGAAACCCCGUCUCUACUAAAAAUACAAAAAAUUAGCCAGGCGCGGUGGCGGGCGCCUGUAGUCCCAGCUACUCGGGAGGCUGAGGCAGGAGAAUGGCGUGAACCCGGGAAGCGGAGCUUGCAGUGAGCUGAGAUUGCGCCACUGCAGUCCGCAGUCCGGCCUGGGCGACAGAGCGAGACUCCGUCUCAAAAAAAAAAAAAGAAAAAAAAAAAAGAAAUCGAGAGAUGAUUUAAAAUAUAUGCGAAGAUGUGCAUAGAUUAUCUGCAAAUACGACAGCAUUUUAUAUCAGGGACUUGCGCAUCUGUGGAUUUUCAUAUUCCAGGGGAGUGUUAGAACCAAUCCCCAGAAGAUACUGAGGUGCUAUGUAGGGAUGUAAUGAAACGUGAGAGAUACUGAGGUGCUAUGUAGGGAUGUAAUGAAACGUGAGAGAUACUGAGGUCCUACUGUAGGGAUGUAAUGAAACGUGAGAGAUGCUAUAAUUUUCUUGUAAAAGGAGGCACUCACUUCAUUAGGAGAGAACUUUUAAUUUUUCCGGUAGGAUUUUGUGAGAAAUUUGCCUCGUGUUACUUCAUUUAGAGCAGUGGUUCUCAAGUAAGGCUCAGUUUUGGCGCUAAGGAAUCUUUGGCACUGUCUGGGGACAUUUGCAACUUGAGGGGUGCUACCGGCAUCUAGUGAGUAGAGUGCUGGGUGCUGCUAAACGUCCUGUAGUUCUCCGGAUAGCCCCCACGGCAAAGAAUUUCUCGGCCCACACUGCAAAUAGUGCUGAAGUUUGAAACCACGUUUAGAAACACUUUGAAUGCCAGUUCUUUAUCCGAAGUGUUACUGUGGAUGAAGUUUUCAUGAAUAGCUUUGGAAACCUAAUACGUAUGGCCAUAUUUAUAUUUUUUUCUAUGUAGAGCUAAGACCAAAGCUGUUAAGUUAAAACUCUGUAGUGGCAGUGCCACAGUACCCAGUAAUAUCGCCUAGGUACAUAGUUUUCUGGUACCGUACUCUAAUUUGAUGUGAAAUAAUGCUAGGAGAGUUGUGGUGAGUGAGUAAUUUACAUAACAUACACAAUAACCAUCAUUCUCGGGCACAUAAUUCCAGAUUGAAGUUAAUAUACCACGUGAUUGAAGUAUUCUGUAUUAUUGUUAAUGAAGACUUGGUACUCUAGAAGUAUUUAAUAAUUGUCACACAAUCGUAAUCGAAUGACUGGUUAUAUUUUUGGUGUGUCAUAGAAUAGUAGAAUAGCAAUUAAUUAUGUCUUCUUAUUUUAAUCAUUUUUAUCACAAUGUUUUGUGUUUUAAAUUUCUGGCUAUUUAGGUGAUCUCUUGAUGUUUUCAUGAAAUAGGAGAAGUAAAGGGAAACACUACUACCUUAUUUCUGUUUUUUGAAGGAAUUAUUUUAGUAUUUCUACGUUAAGUAUAAUAAUUCUAGUAUUAAAAUAUUCAUUAAGUGUUUUGUACUUAAUGGUUUGUUUGUUUGUUUGUUUGUUUGUUUGUUUGUUUGUUUUUAAGACAGGGUCUUGCUCUAUGACCCAGGCAGGAGUGCAGUGGUGUGAUCUCAGCUCACUGCAGCCUCCUUCUACCGGAUUCAAGUGAUUCUCAUGCCUCAGCCACCCGAGUAGCUGGGAUUCCAGGCGUGUGCCACCAUGCCUGGCUAAUUUUGUGUGUCUGUUUUUAUUAGAGACGGGGUUUCACCAUGUUGGCCAGGCUGGUCCUAGCAUCAUGUGAUCUGCCUGCCUCGGCCUCUACAAGUGCUGGGAUUACAGGUGUGAACCAGCACACCUGGCCUUAUACUUAAUGUUUUGAAUAGUUUAUGUUUAAUCUUUAUCAGAUGCCGUUUUGAUAUUCAAAGGUCAGUUUUGCUAGUUACGUUAAAAAGCACGUAGUAAAUUUAUUUUAUUUGUGAAGAUUAACACUUGACCUGCAGGGUUCAUUUUCACUUUUUGUUAUUCAGCGACUGCCACUUGUGAUGUUAAGUUCAUCACUGGCUUCACUGUUCCAGGUAGAAGUUACAGUUUGCCAGAGAGCAGUAGUACUACUUUUCUAUUUUUUCUCUUUUUUAACUCUGAAAAAUAAAAUACAUUUUUAAAGUAUGCACAUGCACAUGUAGAUGUGCCGUGUAAAGAAUACUUAUAACAUGAUCAUCUCGAGAAAUUGGAGUAUUGUUGGCAUCCCAGAAAUCAUAUGUGUAUUUCUUUGCUAUCAUUUUUCUCUUCUGUUCCUCUAGAGAUUACUAUUCUGACUUUUCUUCUUCUUUGCUUUUCUUUAUGACCUGCACAUAUAUCAAAAAGUAUAAUUUAGUUUUGUAUAUUUUGUACUUCAAUAAAUGGAAUUACUGUA